rnacentral:misc_RNA from 1 species
UCUUCUAUCUCCCCUUCUCUGUAAAGUUUGCUUUUUUUAUUUUUAUUUUUCUGUUGCCUUGCGUCCACUCAUGGCGUCUUCAAGGGAAGGACACUACAGGGGUGUGAGGAAGAGACCAUGGGGCCGCUACGCUGCCGAAAUACGUGACCCUUGGAAGAAAAGUAGGGUGUGGUUGGGUACAUUCGACACUCCUGAAGAGGCUGCGCUCGCUUAUGAUGGUGCAGCUCGCUCUCUCCGUGGAGCUAAGGCCAAAACCAACUUCCCCACGCCAGCUACUGGUCUUUCUCUGGACCUCAACGCCCCUUCUGAUUCUCACCAUCUCUGGAGCUCAACUGCUGGUCACCGCUUCGCCCUUGGUGAGUUCCUGCAAACUGGGGUUCUUAAAGAGAUUAGCUUUAACGGGGAGGCCUCAGGGUCGAUCCAAAAAGAGAGUGCUGUUACUGUUGGUGGUGGUGCUAGUGCUGGUACUCCGGUGCCGGAAACUAGUGUUAAGCCGUCGUUUUUGGGGAUUGUGCGACGUGGGUUGCCUAUAGAUUUGAACGAGCCUCCACCGUUGUGGCUGUGAUAUUUACUUAACGAUUGGCGAUGGGUUCUGUCGUUACUGUAGGGCAUUUUCCGGCUGGUUUUAAUCUUACUACUUUUCUCUUUUUUAAUCUCCCUUUUCUUACCCUUUCAUCUCAUUAUCUCUGUUUUCAAAGGGAGUAAUUACAUCAAAC